rnacentral:rRNA from 1 species
UACGGGGGGUGCGAGCGUUGUCCGGAAUCACUGGGCGUAAAGGGCGCGUAGGUGGCGUCGUAAGUCUGUGGUGAAAGCCCGGAGCUCAACUCCGGGUCUGCCGCGGAUACUGCGAGGCUUGAGUGCUGUAGAGGGGGGUAGAAUGCCGGGUGUAGCGGUGGAAUGCGUAGAUAUUAAGUGGAACACCAGUGGCGAAGGCGAGUCUCUGGACAUUUCCUGACGCUGAGGCACGAAAGCCAGGGGAGCAAACGGG